rnacentral:rRNA from 1 species
GACGAACGCUGGCGGCGUGCCUAAUACAUGCAAGUUGAGCGCUGAAGGUUGGUACUUGUACCAACUGGAUGAGCAGCGAACGGGUGAGUAACGCGUGGGGAAUCUGCCUUUGAGCGGGGGACAACAUUUGGAAACGAAUGCUAAUACCGCAUAAAAACUUUAAACACAAGUUUUAAGUUUGAAAGAUGCAAUUGCAUCACUCAAAGAUGAUCCCGCGUUGUAUUAGCUAGUUGGUGAGGUAAAGGCUCACCAAGGCGAUGAUACAUAGCCGACCUGAGAGGGUGAUCGGCCACAUUGGGACUGAGACACGGUCCAAACUCCUACGGGAGGCAGCAGUAGGGAAUCUUCGGCAAUGGACGAAAGUCUGACCGAGCAACGCUGCGUGAGUGAAGAAGGUUUUCGGAUCGUAAAACUCUGUUGGUAGAGAAGAACGUUGGUGAGAGUGGAAAGCUCAUCAAGUGACGGUAACUACCCAGAAAGGGACGGCUAACUACGUG